AUAGCAAAAGGAAGAAAAAAAAAGUCCACAAAGCACUUAGCUGUCAGCCAUAUCAUCUGAAGUAAAUUCAAGGGAAUUGAUUUGUUUUAAUUCUUCAGUAUUUCUAAUUGGUCCCAAGCCAAUUGCCAGUUAGGACUCAUAACAUUAAAUUCAGGUUAACCAUUCGGUUGCUGAUCUUUGCACUAUCCGUAUAUUACAACUUCAGGCCUCCUCCAUUGGCCACUUCUUAGUGAUCACAUGAACACUCUUCUCUAUUCCUUUGUGAUGCUAAGAAUGCUUUUGAUGAAACAAAAUAUACUUAGUGGGCUUCUAGUAGAUUAGCAAAGCAACUGAAUGCCUGAGUGGGUCAAAGCAGUGAUCUCUUUUGGUCUGAUAGUAAAGAAUACCUGAAGGCAUGUGUUGCUGUACACUGAAAUGGAAAUGGAAAUAGGAAACUACAGCUAGAGACGCUUAGGCCUGUAAGGCUGGGAAAACCAAGCAGAAUUGUAUAGACUGGUUAUAGAGCAGGAGGGUCAGUCGGGAAGCUGAGCCUUGGGAAACAUCAAACAUUGGUGUCAGCAUUGCUCCCUUGGUGUCCCUUCCCAGCUCAAGGCCAUGUCAUCCUGAUGCUCAUCUCCACAGCCAGCAAUCCAAUGGAUAUUUAUUGGGUAACUCCUGUGCUUCACAUAAUACUUAGGUCCUGAGCAUAAAAAGUAAAUGAGCCACAAAGUCAUUCUUAUUAAUGUGCUCACAAUCUAGUAGAAACGUUAUGUAAACACAUAAUUACAAUAAAGUAAGUUUGGAAAAUAGGGGCAGGCUAUACAAUUUGUAUAAAGGGAAGGGCGAUUUGCAUUGCAUGUGUCAAAACUCAGCGACAUUGUGAAGUGAAAGCAUGACAGUGGGAGUGACAGAUGAUGACUUCUGGGAAAAGGAAACAGGUUGUGCAAAACCACAGAGGAUUGAAACACUCUAGCAGUUACAUGUAGGUGCCACUCUGUCACAAUUUGUAAUGUAGAAAUUGUUUCCAUUUGAAAAGGGACCCAGGGAGCAUUUGAGCAAGAUUUUGCAAAGGGGAGUAUAUGUGGAGGUAAGGCUGAGGAGGCAGGC
rnacentral:lncRNA from 1 species